ensembl:lncRNA
CCUGGAUGUGGGAAACAGCUCCUCUCAAAGCAGACUGUUUCAGACUGCCGUGCACUGAGAGCGUGAAGGUUUCCUCACAGGCAGAGACCUUGGAGGCACCAUGGUGCAGCGGCAGCAGAGAGGUUCUGAAGGGUAGGAAGGGUUUUGACGACCCAGAAAAAGAGUGGAACAACAGAGGCUCAGCCAUGAGGAGCUGCUGGUGUCUUCAGAGAGUGGGAGGGGACAAGAAGGUGCAACUAAGACGGGAAAGAGACUUCGUUUCUAUAACCAAUCAUGUAGAGUGCCCCAGACACAGCCUCAGAAGACCACGGUCCUCCCCAAAUCAAUGGCUUCUCCAUGCUAGGCCCAGUCUUCCCAUCAGCAAGGUUGAUGCGAACGUCCCCCACUGGAAGUUCUCAUUCCGAGAAGGUGAUGCUGACUUUUGAGAGGAGACCUGUGGUCGUGGUGCAGCGUUCUCCACGUGCUUGACGAAACAACAGCUGCAGAGAUGAAGGAGACGCAUGUCUUCACAUGUUUGGGGGCCGAGCAUCCUGGUGCUCAGACAUCAGACCUGGAGAAAGAAUAUGAAGAUGCUUCAGAUCUAGGGGGAGAAAAUAGAGAGUUCUUCUUCUGACUAACCAGGCUUGUUAACUGAAGCAUGUCAACCCAGGAUAUGGUUUUUGUGCUUAAAUGCUCACCCUGACAAAGGCUGUUGCUACCGUGGAAUCCUAUUACCCAGUGUAGUGGCUAGCCAGGAUCUUGCUAUGAGUCGGCUGGCCUGGAACAGAAGGAACUCGGACCUGAGUCUCCCAAGCUCUGAGAUCACCAGUGUACACCAUGCCUUUCCAGUCCUAAGCCCUUAGACGACUGGACAGCCCAGUGUCCUGAGACACUUCGGAUGGCCUCUGCAGGGAUGUGCAUUCUAACAUAGCAGCGUGAUUGGCUAGUAGCUCCGUUUUUACAAAUGCACUUGUGUUGACUUAUAGAUUGGGACAUUUCUAUACAAAAUUGCUUUCUAGUAAUUAGAUAAUUUGAGAUGUGUUUUAUAACCCCGAUUUUAAUUUUACUUAAAUUUAAAGUUCACUCCAGUUAUAAACAUAAUCUGUUUCUACUAUACCAAUCUGGUGGCUAUUAUGCAAUAUGGACAUAAUUAACAUCUCCUUGUAUUCAUGUCCCCUCCUCCUGUAAAAAAACCAACUGGUCAAAAUCCAUAGAAGGAAGUUCUUAGAGGUGGAUAACAGGAUAGAGUGCACCCCAUUCCCCUGUCUUGUUGCUUCCAGGUCACUAAAUCUCAGACCCCUAAACCAAUAGAAGGGCCUUUGUCCCUGGAUGGAGCUCUCAG